GCCAGGCGUGGUGGUGCGUGCCUGCAGUCCCAGCUACUUGGGAGGCUGAGGUUGGAGGAUUGCUUGAGUUCAGAAGUUCUGGGCUGUAGUGAGCUAUGCUGGUGGUUGCACUAAAUUCAGCAUCAAUAUGGUGACCUCCUGGGAGUAGGGGACCACUGGAUUGCCUAAGGAAGGGUGAACCAGCCCAGGUCGGAAAUGGAGCAGGUCAGAAACUCCCAUGCUGAUCAGUAGUGGGAUCAUGGCUACAAAUAGCCACUGUACUCCAGCCUGGGCAACAUAGUGAGCCUCCUGUCUCUA
ensembl:misc_RNA Metazoa_SRP Metazoan signal recognition particle RNA